UGUAACGAGAAUAUACCCCAACACGCAGGAUUCAGCUAAACAGAAGACAACACAGAGGAGAGAUACGUCUACCGGACCUUAGAAUGGCCGGACUCGACGUAUAUGAGAGGAGGCAGAGUCAGGAACGAUCCGAAGUCAAGGACACAGAGAGACAGCGUAAACUAGGACUAGCCGGGGUCUGGUACACAGUAAACAGGAAGCCGACAACCAGAACAGAUAAGGAUAAAGAGAAAACGUAGUCAGAAACAAAGCCAAAGUCAAUACGGAGAAAACACAACUGAACACAACAAGCGCUAAAGGGAACUGAAACAGAAACCACGAUAGGGCAGGGAGUAAAGGGAGAGGUAAGUUUAAAUAGCUUCUAAACUAAUGUGAUUGGCUCCUGUCAUAUCCACACCCCCAAAAGGUAAGUGUAUGGGGAGUGUGGCAUGACAGGGGCCAAUGGGAGCCUUUUAACAAUUUAGGCUCCCACUGUCUCUUUAAGAGCGCGCCCGAGACUCGCGGCGCGCUCUUAGAUUCAGACGGGACACGUGACCGCUUCUUGCGGUCACUGCCCGCCUUCCUAGUGAAGC